AGAGUUUGAUCCUGGCUCAGGACGAACGCUGGCGGUGUGCUUCACACAUGCAAGUCGAGCGAAUGAAGUAGGUAGCUUGCUACUUAUGGAUUUAGCGGCGGACGGGUGAGUAAUAUAUAGGAAUCUGCCUUAGAGCGGGGAACAACAGACCGAAAGGUUUGCUAAUGCCCCAUAGGUAUGCAGUCUUCGGAUUGUAUAUUAAAGGAGUAAUCCACCCUAAGAUGAGCCUGUAUCCGAUUAGCUAGUUGGCGGGGUAAAGGCCCACCAAGGCUACGAUCGGUAGUUGGUCUGAGAGGAUGAUCAGCCACAAUGGGACUGAGACACGGCCCAUACUCCUACGGGAGGCAGCAGUGGGGAAUUUUACACAAUGGGGGAAACCCUGAUGUAGCGACACCGCGUGAACGAAGAAGCCUUUUGGGGUGUAAAGUUCUGUCGGCUGGAACGAAAAAAAUGACGGUACCAGCAAAGGAAGCAUCGGCUAACUACGUGCCAGCAGCCGCGGUAAGACGUAGGAUGCAAGCGUUGUCCGGAUUUAUUGGGCGUAAAGAGUUCGUAGGCGGUUAUUUAAGUCUGAUGUUAAAUACUGUGGCCCAACCACAGAACUGCAUUGGAUACUGGAUGACUUGAGUGCGGUAGAGGCAAGUGGAAUUCCCAGUGUAGCGGUGAAAUGCGUAGA
rnacentral:rRNA from 1 species